UACGUAGGGGGCAAGCGUUGUCCGGAAUUACUGGGCGUAAAGCGCCUGUAGGCGGGCAGUUACGUCGGACGUGAAAGGCGGGGGCUCAACCCCCGAGCGGCGUUCGAAACGGACUUUCUUGAGGGUCGAAGAGGAGCGUGGAAUUCCCGGUGUAGCGGUGAAAUGCGCAGAUAUCAGGAGGAACACCGAUGGCGAAGGCAGGUCUCUGGGCCACUACUGACGCUGAGAAGCGAAAGCAUGGGGAGCGAACAGG
rnacentral:rRNA from 1 species